rnacentral:rRNA from 1 species
UACGUAGGGGGCAAGCGUUGUCCGGAUUUAUUGGGCGUAAAGAGCGUGUAGGCGGCCAUACAGGUCCGGUGUGAAAACUCGAGGCUUAACCUCGAGAUGUCAUCGGAAACCAUUUGGCUAGAGUCCGGAAGAGGAGAGUGGAAUUCCUGGUGUAGCGGUGAAAUGCGCAGAUAUCAGGAAGAACACCAAUGGCGAAAGCAGCUCUCUGGGACGGUACUGACGCUGAGACGCGAAAGCGUGGGGAGCGAACAGG